AUGCACCAGGACAUUCAUUAACAAUUCAGCCAGGACAGAUAAUAAGGCAGACUGGCACCAAGACAUUUCUUGCUUUCAGUGUUGUUGUUUCAGACAUUUUAAUCUUUUUUUUUUCAGAUAGUAAUAUCUGAUGCUGAGGAUCUGGAUCCACCUGAAAAAUAUCCAGAAAAAAAUUCUUGCUACAGGAAAUACACAGACCUGUAUUCACCAGAUGUUGAGCAAGAGGACGAAGAGCCGGUUGCUGUCAAUGUGAAGAAUUUCCAACAGACAGCAAUGGAGGAGACGGACAUUACAUUACCUGACAUCGUAGCAAACCUGUCACUUCCUAUUGAUCAUAAAAGAGUCAGCAGGUUCAACAUCUCAAGGGCUAAUGUUUGGGAUGGGGCAGUCAGAGGUUUCAAGCGUACAACAUAUUCUGAAACCUGUGACAUGCUGGUCAAAUUUACUGAUGAGACUGGUGUUCUGGAAGAGGGAAUUGACACUGGUGGUCCAAGACGAGAGUUUUUAACUCUACUCAUGAAACAUCUAAAAGACCAGCCCAUUUUUGAUGGACCAGAAGGACAUCGAUUCUUGGUCUACAAUGCAAAUGGUAUGCAUAUGGGUUAGAUGUGUACUAUAGGAUACUAAUGGUUGGUUAAUGGUCAUUGACCAUAUAUAUCACAUGACAAAUGCUUGUAUAUUAGAGUAUAUAAUGCAUUGUUAGUUUUAAUUUUGCAAUAUGAAUUCAUUCACAGCUGUUAGGGAUGAUGAAU